UAAGCGGAGGAAAAGAAACUAACAAGGAUUCCCCUAGUAACUGCGAGUGAAGCGGGAAAAGCUCAAAUUUAAAAUCUGGUGGUCUUUUGGCCGUCCGAGUUGUAAUUUAGAGAAGCGUCUUCCGCGCUGGACCGUACACAAGUCUCCUGGAACGGAGCGUCAUAGAGGGUGAGAAUCCCGUCUUUGGUACGGACCCCAGGGCUUCUGUGAUGCGCUCUCGAAGAGUCGAGUUGUUUGGGAAUGCAGCUCAAAAUGGGUGGUGAACUCCAUCUAAAGCUAAAUAUUGGCGAGAGACCGAUAGCGAACAAGUACCGUGAGGGAAAGAUGAAAAGCACUUUGGAAAGAGAGUGAAACAGUACGUGAAAUUGUUGAAAGGGAAACGCUUGAAGUCAGUCGCGUCCGCCGAGACUCAGCCUCGCUCCGGCUUGGCGUAUUUCUCGGUCGACGGGUCAGCAUCAAUUUCGUCCCUCGGAUAAUGGCAAGGGAAAGGUGGCACCUUUGCGGGUGUGUUAUAGUCUUUUGUCGCAUGCGAGGGGUGAGAUUGAGGAACUCAGCACGCGCGCCCUCUGGGGUGUGUCGGGGCCUCGGCCCACGCCACGUGCUUAGGAUGCUGGCGUAAUGGCUUUAAACGACC
rnacentral:rRNA from 1 species